rnacentral:rRNA from 1 species
GUCCACGCCCUAAACGAUGCAUGCUUGGUGCGGGUGAUUCAGUUCAUCUGUGCCGUAGCUAACGCGUUAAGCAUGCCGCCUGGGGAGUACAGUCGCAAGGCUGAAACUCAAAGGAAUUGACGGGGGGCCCGCACAAGCGGUGGAGCAUGUGGUUCAAUUCGACGCAACGCGAAGAACCUUACCUGGGCUCGAACGGCUGGUCAACGAUCAUGGAAACAUGGUUACCCCGCAAGGGGGUCCAGUCGAGGUGCUGCAUGGCUGGCGU